AAUUUGUGUAGUUAAAAAAAUAAUACACAUAUCAACUACAAUUUCAUCCAAAUUAUAUACUGCAAUAUUUUUAAAUCAUCUCAAAACCAGUAGCUGCAAUUUUCAUUUCAUGAAAUUCCCUUUUCUAUCAUCUUUAGAUUAUUCAUUUUCUGAGGGAGUAGCACUGGUUUACUGCAUUGAAGAGAGUUAUAAUAUGACAAUUUGAGGUCAUCCUAUUUAAUUUCAAUGCACUAAAUCAAUUUGACCAAAGAAUCGCAUUCUGAUAGCACUUAUCUGGCUCACGAAUUAUAUUGAAGGGGGGGGGGGGGGGGGGCAAAUAUCAUUUUAAUCAAAACUUUAAUAUCUUUAAUGUACAAUGAUUUUCAGCCAUAUACUGAAAACAGUUAAUAACAGUUUACUAUUAGAAACACCCUAUCUUACAAACCGUAAAGAAUUCAAAUAAGCUGGGUUAUAAAGAAGAACUGCUACACUGCUCUUACAAUUACCAUUGAAAGUUUUAUUUUUAACUCGACAAGUCUCGAUAUUUAUUGAAAGAGAUUCUAUCUUUUAAAAGCAGAUGCAAAGAUACCUUCAAUCAUCUUAAUUGGAAAUAAUAUCAUUGAAGCACCUUUGUCUAUCGAUUACAUGCCAAUCUAAAUUUAACAGGUUUUUUUUUAAAAAUACAAUUGAGAACGAAAAUGGGGACUGUGUCAAAGUCUGCAUUGGAAAAAAAAUGCUUGUCAGACGUUUUAUGGAAUUUGAUCAUGAAUACGUUGAUCUUUUAACUCGAUGAUGAAUGUUCAAUGCUUCUUGUAACAUUUCACUCUAAAUUGCAGCAAAUCAGUGUUACUUGCGCUCAAAAUAAAUUAGAUUCAGGAAUCAGGAAUUGCCUUUUUUAAAUUGUUAUACAAAAAUUCAGAUGCAUAAUUCGAUCAUUAAAAGAUAAUUCUCAAAUCUUCUUGAUUGAAAAAAAGAUCAUCAACGCAUCUUUGUUCCAUAAAUAUACAAAAAGUUACAAUUCUUUUUCUAAAUAUAGUUCCGAUAUGUGUAUACAAUAACUGUCUAAAGAUUACAUUAUGUACGUAAACAAUUAUAGGCAACCGUACGGCCUGCAACAAAGCCGCUUUUCUUAGCGUUUCGUAAACGCAGUAUAAUAUAUAAUAUACACCAAAAGUAUAAUUUUAUAAUCUUCUUUU
rnacentral:lncRNA from 1 species